rnacentral:SRP_RNA from 1 species
GCCAGGCGUGGUGGUGCAUGCCUGUAAUCCCACCUACUCGGGAGGCUGAGGCAGGAGAAUUGCUUGAACCCAGGAGGCAGAGGUUGCAGUGAGCCGAGAUCAUGCCACUGCACUCCAGCCUGGGUGACAGAGUGAGACUCCGCCUCAA